rnacentral:rRNA from 1 species
UAACCUACCUAUAAGACUGGGAUAACUUCGGGAAACCGGAGCUAAUACCGGAUAAUAUUUUGAACCGCAUGGUUCAAAAGUGAAAGACGGUCUUGCUGUCACUUAUAGAUGGAUCCGCGCUGCAUUAGCUAGUUGGUAAGGUAACGGCUUACCAAGGCAACGAUGCAUAGCCGACCUGAGAGGGUGAUCGGCCACACUGGAACUGAGACACGGUCCAG